UACGUAGGGGGCUAGCGUUGUCCGGAAUCAUUGGGCGUAAAGAGCGCGUAGGCGGUCUGUCGCGUCGGAUGUGAAAACCCAGGGCUCAACCCUGGGCCUGCAUUCGAUACGGGCAGACUAGAGUUCGGUAGGGGAGACUGGAAUUCCUGGUGUAGCGGUGAAAUGCGCAGAUAUCAGGAGGAACACCGGUGGCGAAGGCAGCUCCCUGGGCCAAUACUGACGCUCAUGCACGAAAGCGUGGGGAGCAAACAGG
rnacentral:rRNA from 1 species